rnacentral:rRNA from 1 species
GCAGUCGAACGAAGUAGCAAUACUUAGUGGCAGACGGGUGAGUAACAUGUGGGUAUCUACCCUUUGGCCUGGAAUAACACGAGGAAACUUGUGCUAAUACCGGAUAAGUCUUUACAGAGAAAGCUUUAUGCACCAUUGGAUGAGCCCGCACUUGAUUAGUUUGUUGGUAGGGUAAUGGCCUACCAAGACUGUGAUCAAUAGCUGAUUUGAGAGGAUGAUCAGCCACAUUGGGACUGAGACACGGCCCAAACUCCUACGGGAGGCAGCAGUGGGGAAUCUUGCACAAUGGAGGAAACUCUGAUGCAGCGAUGCCGCGUGAGUGAAGAAGGCCCUUGGGUUGUAAAGCUCUUUCGUCGGGGAAGAAAAUGACUGUACCCGAAUAAGAAGGUCCGGCUAACUUCGUGCCAGCAGCCGCGGUAAUACGAAGGGACCUAGCGUAGUUCGGAAUUACUGGGCUUAAAGAGUUCGUAGGUGGUUGAAAAAGUUGGUGGUGAAAUCCCAGAGCUUAACUCUGGAACUGCCAUCAAAACUUUUCAGCUAGAGUUUGAUAGAGGAAAGCAGAAUUUCUAGUGUAGAGGUGAAAUUCGUAGAUAUUAGAAAGAAUACCAAUUGCGAAGGCAGCUUUCUGGAUCAUUACUGACACUGAGGAACGAAAGCAUGGGUAGCGAAGAGGAUUAGAUACCCUCGUAGUCCAUGCCGUAAACGAUGUGUGUUAGACGUUGGAAAUUUAUUUUCAGUGUCGCAGCGAAAGCGAUAAACACACCGCCUGGGGAGUACGACCGCAAGGUUAAAACUCAAAUGAAUUGACGGGGACCCGCACAAGUAGUGGAGCAUGUGGUCUAAUUCGAAGAUACGCGCAGAAACUUACAACACUUGACAUGUUCGUCGCGACU